AAGUCGUAACAAGGUUUCCGUAGGUGAACCUGCGGAAGGAUCAUUAUUGAAUUAUGUUUCUAGAUGGGUUGUAGCUGGCUCUUUGGAGCAUGUGCACGCCUGUUUGGAUUUCAUUUUCAUCCACCUGUGCACUCAUUGUAGUCUUUGGUUUGGGUAUUGAGGAAGUGGUCGGCCUAUCAGCUUUUGCUGGAUGUGAGGAGUUUGCAGUGCGAAAGCAUUGCUGUCCUUUACUUGGCCAUGGAGACUUUUGCCUGCCAGAGUCUAUGUUAUUCAUUAUACUCUAUCGAAUGUUAUCGAAUGUCUUUACAUGGGCUUUCAUGCCUAUGAAAAUUAUAAUACAACUUUCAGCAACGGAUCUCUUGGCUCUC
rnacentral:misc_RNA from 1 species